rnacentral:sRNA from 1 species
GCUGGGCAUGGUGGGGUGUGCCUGUAGUCCCAGUUACAUGGGAGGCUGAGGUGGGAGGAUCACUCGAGCCCAGGAGUUUGAUGCUGCAGUGAGGUAUGAUCGCACUGCUGCACACCAGCCUUGGUAACGGAUGAGACUCCACAUAAAUAAAUAAAUGGAGGAGCUCACCACCAUCCCAUGGGCUGAGCCAGGUGCGCAGCACUGCACUCCAGCCUGGGCGACAGAGCGAGACCCUGUCUCA